UUUUUAAGUUAAUUUAAUAGAUUAGCAAUCCCUCCUAAUCCCCGGCCUAGAACGAUACCCUACUUACAUCUUUACUACAAUUGUCAAAAAGAGGGUUUAAUUUGUGUGUCAAGUAAUUCUCACAUCAAAUUUUGGCGCCGUUGCCGGGGAUUAGCAACUUUGCUAAUCCUUUUAUUUUUGUUUUUGUUUAUGUUUAUAUUGGUGUUUGUGUAUUUUACUUUUGAUUUUUGAUUUAUUUUUCUUUCUUUGAUUUUAGGUUCAAAUGGAGCCGAGGGAAAUUUAAAGGAAAGAU
rnacentral:lncRNA from 1 species